rnacentral:rRNA from 1 species
CGUAGGUCCCGAGCGUUAUCCGGAUUUAUUGGGCGUAAAGCGAGCGCAGGCGGUUAGAUAAGUCUGAAGUUAAAGGCUGUGGCUUAACCAUAGUACGCUUUGGAAACUGUUUAACUUGAGUGCAGAAGGGGAGAGUGGAAUUCCAUGUGUAGCGGUGAAAUGCGUAGAUAUAUGGAGGAACACCGGUGGCGAAAGCGGCUCUCUGGUCUGUAACUGACGCUGAGGCUCGAAAGCGUGGGGAGCAA